UCAUUCGUCGACAGUGCUAGACUGCAAGUCGUGCGGACCUUUUAAAAGCUUGCUUUUAAAAGGUUAGCGGCGGACGGGUGAGUAACACGUGGGCAACCUGCCUGUAAGAUCGGGAUAACGCCGGGAAACCGGGGCUAAUACCGGAUAGUUUUUUCCUCCGCAUGGAGGAAAAAGGAAAGACGGCUUUUGCUGUCACUUACAGAUGGGCCCGCGGCGCAUUAGCUAGUUGGUGGGGUAACGGCUCACCAAGGCAACGAUGCGUAGCCGACCUGAGAGGGUGAUCGGCCACAUUGGGACUGAGACACGGCCCAAACUCCUACGGGAGGCAGCAGUAGGGAAUCUUCCGCAAUGGACGAAAGUCUGACGGAGCAACGCCGCGUGAGUGAAGAAGGCCUUCGGGUCGUAAAACUCUGUUGCCGGGGAAGAACAAGUGCCGUUCGAACAGGGCGGCGCCUUGACGGUACCCGGCCAGAAAGCCACGGCUAACUACGUGCCAGCAGCCGCGGUAAUACGUAGGUGGCAAGCGUUGUCCGGAAUUAUUGGGCGUAAAGCGCGCGCAGGCGGCUUCUUAAGUCUGAUGUGAAAUCUUGCGGCUCAACCGCAAGCGGUCAUUGGAAACUGGGAGGCUUGAGUGCAGAAGAGGAGAGUGGAAUUCCACGUGUAGCGGUGAAAUGCGUAGAGAUGUGGAGGAACACCAGUGGCGAAGGCGGCUCUCUGGUCUGUAACUGACGCUGAGGCGCGAAAGCGUGGGGAGCAAACAGGAUUAGAUACCCUGGUAGUCCACGCCGUAAACGAUGAGUGCUAAGUGUUAGAGGGUUUCCGCCCUUUAGUGCUGCAGCUAACGCAUUAAGCACUCCGCCUGGGGAGUACGGCCGCAAGGCUGAAACUCAAAGGAAUUGACGGGGGCCCGCACAAGCGGUGGAGCAUGUGGGUUUAAUUCGAAGCAACGCGAAGAACCUUACCAGGUCUUGACAUCCUCUGACCUCCCUGGAGACAGGGCCUUCCCCUUCGGGGGACAGAGUGACAGGUGGUGCAUGGUGUCGUCAGCUCGUGUCGUGAGAUGUUGGGUAGUCCGCACGAGCGCACCCUUGACUUAGUGCAGCAUUCAGUGGGCACUCUAAGGGUGACUGCCGGUG
rnacentral:rRNA from 1 species